UGCUCUUCUUGGAUGAGUUGCGAACGGGUGAGUAACGCGUAGGUAACCUGCCUUGUAGCGGGGGAUAACUAUUGGAAACGAUAGCUAAUACCGCAUAACAAUGGAUGACACAUGUCAUUUAUUUGAAAGGGGCAAUUGCUCCACUACAAGAUGGACCUGCGUUGUAUUAGCUAGUAGGUGAGGUAAUGGCUCACCUAGGCGACGAUACAUAGCCGACCUGAGAGGGUGAUCGGCCACACUGGGACUGAGACACGGCCCAGACUCCUACGGGAGGCAGCAGUAGGGAAUCUUCGGCAAUGGGGGCAACCCUGACCGAGCAACGCCGCGUGAGUGAAGAAGGUUUUCGGAUCGUAAAGCUCUGUUGUAAGUCAAGAACGGGUGUGAGAGUGGAAAGUUCACACUGUGACGGUAGCUUACCAGAAAGGGACGGCUAACUACGUGCCAGCAGCCGCGGUAAUACGUAGGUCCCGAGCGUUGUCCGGAUUUAUUGGGCGUAAAGCGAGCGCAGGCGGUUUGAUAAGUCUGAAGUUAAAGGCUGUGGCUCAACCAUAGUUCGCUUUGGAAACUGUCAAACUUGAGUGCAGAAGGGGAGAGUGGAAUUCCAUGUGUAGCGGUGAAAUGCGUAGAUAUAUGGAGGAACACCGGUGGCGAAAGCGGCUCUCUGGUCUGUAACUGACGCUGAGGCUCGAAAGCGUGGGGAGCGAACAGGAUUAGAUACCCUGGUAGUCCACGCCGUAAACGAUGAGUGCUAGGUGUUGGAUCCUUUCCGGGAUUCAGUGCCGCAGCUAACGCAUUAAGCACUCCGCCUGGGGAGUACGACCGCAAGGUUGAAACUCAAAGGAAUUGACGGGGGCCCGCACAAGCGGUGGAGCAUGUGGUUUAAUUCGAAGCAACGCGAAGAACCUUACCAGGUCUUGACAUCCCGAUGCUAUUUCUAGAGAUAGAAAGUUACUUCGGUACAUCGGUGACAGGUGGUGCAUGGUUGUCGUCAGCUCGUGUCGUGAGAUGUUGGGUUAAGUCCCGCAACGAGCGCAACCCUUAUUGUUAGUUGCCAUCAUUCAGUUGGGCACUCUAGCGAGACUGCCGGUAAUAAACCGGAGGAAGGUGGGGAUGACGUCAAAUCAUCAUGCCCCUUAUGACCUGGGCUACACACGUGCUACAAUGGUUGGUACAACGAGUUGCGAGUCGGUGACGGCGAGCUAAUCUCUUAAAGCCAAUCUCAGUUCGGAUUGUAGGCUGCAACUCGCCUACAUGAAGUCGGAAUCGCUAGUAAUCGCGGAUCAGCACGCCGCGGUGAAUACGUUCCCGGGCCUUGUACACACCGCCCGUCACACCACGAGAGUUUGUAACACCCGAAGUCGGUGAGGU
rnacentral:rRNA from 1 species